GACAGAGGGGGCAAGCGUUGCUCGGAAUUACUGGGCGUAAAGAGUGCGUAGGCGGUUUUCUAAGUUUGGUGUGAAAUCUCCCGGCUUAACUGGGAGGGUGCGCCGAAAACUGGAAGGCUUGAGUAUGGGAGAGGUAAGCGGAAUUCCUGGUGUAGCGGUGAAAUGCGUAGAUAUCAGGAGGAACACCUGCGGUGUAGACGGCUUACUGGACCAUAACUGACGCUGAGGCACGAAAGCGUGGGUAGCAAACAGG
rnacentral:rRNA from 1 species